rnacentral:SRP_RNA from 1 species
UCGCGCUAAGUGGGGUGCUGGCGGUACCCUGCACCGGCAAUCCGCCUUAGCCGGACCGAAUUCCGUCGCUGAGGUCAAGGUUUUCAGAACCGGCCGCGGCAAACGGCGUUGAAGGUCGGGACCUGCGCAGCCC